UUGUAAAUUAUGAGAAAUAAUAGAGCUAUUAACACCUCUUGUCAGAUGGUAAAGCAGGAAAGGUAAUAAGCAAGAAGGAAAGAGUGAAAGAAAAUUCUGUGUUAACAAAAAAACAAGCCACCGUUGCUAGGAGAGAGAUAAACAAACAUCACGAUGGGCUGAGAGGACUGUGUGAAUCAGCCUGAGGCGACAGGUGACUUGUCCGUGGGGCCUAAAGAGCCUGUUUUGCAGGAAACAAAGCCAGGUAUCAUCCAAUGGCUCAUUCCAAAGUGCUAAUUGUUUUUACUUUUUACCUUGUUCUGCUAAACUCUCAGGAGGUAGGGUUACGACUGGUAUAUGACAAGACUGGUUACGACAAGGGGGCUUAGCAUGGCUAAGCCCCAGUGUCUCUCAAAUAUAAAUAGUCAUUCAAUAUAAGAUUUAAUUUUUGGCAUCAGUUUAUCACAUCAGUUAUUUGCAGUUAACAAAUGUGGAUUAUUUUGGACAUUUUGUUGGAAUCAUCAACGUUCAUAAGGAAAAUAAACAGAGUGUUAUGAAGUAGCAAGGCUGGGGCUAAUUUCUUUCUAGCCCAGAUUAUAGAUUCAUACACCCUAUCCGUGACAGUCAUGACACCCAAUGGAUCUCCAUUUAAUCUCCAUUUGAGCUAACAUGUCAUCAGCAGUGAUCGAGAAGGUGCACAUAUAAUACAUUUGUGGCUGUAAUGACCGUGAAAAAGGUGUUAAGUGUGUUUAAUAGUUUGCCUCAUAUCACUCUUAUAACGCCAUUGCUGGUAUCUCGUGAUUUAAUGCAUUGCGCAACCUUAAUAGUUUCAUUCUCCAGCUAUUUAUAGAUUAAAGCCUCACAUCUAAUAUCAUGAUGAGUAGUUACUGGUAUGGAAUGCUAAAGUGGUAAAGCAUUUUGUUCAUAUUGUAUGACGUCACUCAAGGCAGUAAAAUACAAACUAGCCUCAGAUUCACUUGAAUACCAAAUAAAUCGCUUCACGUCAGAUUCAGCAGAACUAUCACAAUCAGACAAGCCUUACUAAAGGAAAUUGCAACAGAAAGCUGCCAUUUAACCUGCCAUGUUUUAUUGCUGAGGACUAAUUAGGCCUAGAAAUGCAGUCGUGCCGUGCUUAUGGCUGGGUUGCGAACAAGAGGUUACGAUUGCUGACACGUGAAGCCGAUACUCACAGUCCAGUUUCGAUUCAAUUCCACUACACCGGUGGCAUAUUCAGAUUCAUUCAUGGAGAAAGAGACAGAGCUUGGCAGUCAAGAUAUUUCAAAGGCCUGUUAAAGAAACCCAACGCGCAUGUUUUUCAUCAGGCCAUUCUUUCACACCAUUUGGAAAGCGAAAGCCUCAGAAGGUUUACAAUGAAAAUGGCACUUGGGGAAAGAUGACAGACAUAGCGUCCGCAGCUGCUGGCGAUGUCACUCGGCACCCUGCGAGUGUCGGCGUGAGCUAAUGGCCCUCGUAUUACUUCAUCACACUGCUAAGUGCUGCAACAAUUUUAAAGGAGCUGAAAUGAUGGCGGAGGUUCUAAUAAACCCAUUCAAUGCAGCACCCCUCCCCGGAGAACUGUAUGUGUGAGCGUAUGUGUGGUUUUCAGGGCCAAGUGCAUGGCCCAGGUGUGUGAAUGAACUGUUCUCAUGAUGCUAAUCACUGUAAGACGUGGAGCAUGCUAGUGUUUUUUUGCAGGUGCACUGUGCUGGAAAAGCUCUCUGUGGGGUUCGAGUUACUCCAUGCCAAACACACAGAACUGUAGACUAAUUACUGAUGGCACUUAAUAAGCCCAUAAUUAGCAGUGGGCUUACAGAGUAGCCUAAUUAAUGGGCUGGUUGAAGAAAUAUAAACAUGUGGGGGGAAAAAAUGAAUAAAAAUAAUGACAUGUAAUAAUAAUAACAGGAAUGUGUAUGCAGUAGUAAAACUAAUGAUUCUAAAGAAAUAAAAUAACAGUUAUAUAAUUCUUACAAAAAAAUAAAUAAAAUAAACGAAAUUAAUGUUAAAUCUGUUUAUGCAGAGUGUCUACUGUAAAGACAAUUAAUCAACAACUUCUGACCAAUCAGAGCUGAGAAUUUAGCAGUAUUGUGAUAGCAUAUAAGGAGUGAAAAGCGCUGUUAUUUGGCAACAUUAAUAGUUACUUCGUAUUUUAUUUAGAUUUCUAAUAUCUUUACCUUUUCUCUACUAACCUUAGUUUCUGUAAGUGCAUGUAACAUCAAUGUAAAGUGUCACUAAUAUUUCUGAUUGUAGAAUAAUGCUACUGUGAACUUGUUCUGAUAGUGAAACAUUCUUUUGUAGGGUUCUACACAAUACCGUUAAGAGUUCCUACUUUAAGAGCUGUCAUUUAUGAUAUGUUAUCUCUUUAUAUGUCUUUGGUUGGUCUGCAUACUUAAUGUGGAGAUGAUGAAACCGUCUUCGAGAGCUUGCAUACCCUCUGCGGUUUUGGGGUAGCCUUCACCUACAUGUGUUCCAGUAAUGCAGGUGGCGCUAUUAUAAUCAAGGGCUUGGCCAUGUAGUGUAUUUGUCUGCAGAGUGCGCCCAGAUGCCAUGGUGUGCUUCAUAGUGUUCAUGGCUCUUAGUCAAAUGUCAUCUGUGCAUGCCGUAUGCUGCAGCAUUAACACUUACAGUAUGUGGUAAGAGCAUAAGAACAUUUAAUAAAUGCUAAUAAACUGCAAUUGUUGCUAGGUAAUUGCAUCAUUCACUACUUAUAUGUCCAUUUAUUACCAUGAAUUAAUGUCUAUAAUGAAGCCAGGGAGCUUUUCCUCACCACUGUUGCUUGGCCUUGCUCAUUAAGGAACUAAAUGUACAUCCGGAUUUCUGUGAUGCUGCUCUGAAACUAUUUCUAUUCUUCAAAGCAAUAUGCAAAUAAAGUUGACUCAUGUGUUACCGUUCAUCUUCAAACACAACACAAAUGUCCUAUCAGCUAUGACAAGAUCUCCUUCCAACUAACGUAUGUAUUAGCAUAAAAAUCCUGAUGAUGUGAGGAACCAGUUAAUGUUGGAACAAUGAAUAUAUUAAUCCCCCCGCUGCCCAACCUUGUAUUAUCUUAAGGGAACAUUCUGAACUUAUUUGGUGUCAGCUCAAUCAACAUAGUGUUCAUUCUGAUCUCCCUUAACAAAACAGCACACCAUGAUAACAUGGUAAUUAGCUUAAUACCUCAAAAACCGCUUCUGUUGCUCGGACAAAGACUUUUUGUCUGAGUACAUAACCGAAAUCAAUAUGGCAGGAAUGGAUACAUUGCAGCAAUGCCAUGGCAGGGAUUAUAAAUGGUAAUAAAGCCAAAUAUCAUGGGACCCUGUAGAUUUAAGGGACAUGUAGGAGUUAAUAAUCCUCCAUUAAAAUCACUAACACACCGAACAUGGAAGGGUUUUGUUCCAUUGGCCAUUCUGUUGCCCACCCAGCUUGUCUGGUGAGCCACUUUUUGACAGGCUAUACAAUCAAAACCAGACUUUCAUGUGCACUCCUAAACUAAUGAAAUUUAUGCUGUUCAUAUAUUUCCGAGGUAUUUCAUAAAGCCUAAAAUUUCCCUGGAUCUUUCCCCUCAAACAAAAUACAUCUGGACUUCCCGUUGUGGUUUGGCUACCUCAAUGCUGAGGUGUACAAUGCCAAUCAGCAGGAAACAGUGUCAAUGGCAUAUGGCACAGAAACGUAGCUUAACAUUUGUUUGAGCAACUGUAUUUUAACACAGACACUGGUUUUAUGUUGAGUAGAUGUUUGUGUUUGCAUGGUACUUUGGGACAUUGUAGUCGUUAAAGUAAACCAAUUCAAUUCAAUGGAAGGUUUGGUAGAAAUCCAAACAUGCAAAAGGUAUUUAAGUGCGGAAUGUAAAACAACAGGGAAUGCUGUUUUAAGAGAAUAAUUAAUGAUGUGAUGCAGCUCAGUGUAGCACAUCCAACUGCACACUAUACUUUUCAUCCAUUUAUAGUUACAUUUGUGGAGUGUCUGCAAAGAAAGUUAAGAUAAGAUACUUUAUUAAUCCCCAGAUGGAGAAAUUAGGGAAGUUAGUUCUUGUUAUCAUUUACAUUUUACUCUAAACAGUCAUUCACUCACCAGCCUCUUUUCUCUCUAUUGUAGUUAAUAAGACAAACAAAAUGCAGCUGGUCUUGUUACUGAGAAACCACAAAGUAUAAAACCCUUUAUCCUGAGAACCAGGAAACUUUACCUUUAACUGUUUUACCUUUGACUGGUACAUGUAAAUUGUUACUAAGAUAAGAUAAGAUAAGAUGAUACUUUAUUAAUCCCCAGAUGGAGAAAUUAGGGAAUUUACUAUAGCAGU